GUUAAUGUAGCUUAAAUUUAAAGCAAAGCACUGAAAAUGCUAAGAUGAGUAUUUAUACUCCAUAAACA
rnacentral:tRNA from 1 species